rnacentral:lncRNA from 1 species
GGCUUGACUUUGAUAUAUAUGAUUAAAGAGUGUAUUUUCUACAAUACCGUGUCCCAGUUUUUGGAUAAUUUGUUUCUAAAUGAAUUUAUAGGUCUCCAAAGAUGAAAGGUGAAAUUGAGGUUUGGCACCCAGCAGUUAAAUCAAUAUAUCUUCUUACUGGAGGCAUAUAUCAAAAAUCUGAGACACGGUUUUGGAGAUUGUAUAUGGUUGAUUACAGGGAUGAAAACAAAUUUUUACUACCAUUUGACAUGAAAGUGCCAUUUUCAUCCAAGUUGGAAGACCACUUUUUUGACAAUUAAUAAGCUAUAUUUUGAGAUAAAUCAAACCAAAAAUAAAUUUAUAUAUAAAUUAAGAAAGAGUUAUAUUUCAGCUUUAAAAUGAGUUAAAGAUUUUAAAAAUCCAUUGAGUAGUUUUGGAGAAAUUAAUCUUUAAAGACUGUUGAUUGGAGUCAGAAAAUUCUGACUGUAGUGCUACCUUAAA